rnacentral:rRNA from 1 species
GACGAACGCUGGCGGCGUGCUUAACACAUGCAAGUCGAGCGGUAAGGCCCUUUCGGGGGUACACGAGCGGCGAACGGGUGAGUAACACGUGGGUGACCUGCCCUCAGCUCUGGGAUAAGCCUGGGAAACCGGGUCUAAUACCGGAUAUGACUCCAUGACGCAUGUUGUGGGGUGGAAAGCCUUGUGCGGCUGAGGAUGGGCCCGCGGCCUAUCAGCUUGCUGGUGGGGUGAUGGCCUACCAAGGCGACGACGGGUAGCCGGCCUGAGAGGGCGACCGGCCACACUGGGACUGAGACACGGCCCAGACUCCUACGGGAGGCAGCAGUGGGGAAUCUUGCGCAAUGGGCGAAAGCCUGACGCAGCGACGCCGCGUGAGGGAUGACGGCCUCGGUCGUAAC